rnacentral:rRNA from 1 species
UACGUAGGGAGCAAGCGUUGUUCGGAGUUACUGGGCGUAAAGAGUGCGUAGGCGGUCCUGUAAGUUUGGUGUGAAAUCUCCCGGCUCAACUGGGAGGGUGCGCCGAAGACUGCAGGGCUUGAGUAUGGGAGAGGUAAGCGGAAUUCCUGGUGUAGCGGUGAAAUGCGUAGAUAUCAGGAGGAACACCUGUGGCGUAGACAGCUUACUGGACCAUAACUGACGCUGAGGAACGAAAGCGUGGGUAGCAAACAGG